CAAUCACUAACAACAUCUCUUUUAUUUUUCUCCCUUGUUUUGCAAGUGUUUGAAACACAUUUUUAAAGACCACACAGCGGAACACAUCUUGUCUCCAACCAACAGACACCUUCUCUAUGAAGGAAAGUUAACUCUUGCAGAAAGCACAAGAUUCCUAGAUGUGUAUCUCUUCCUCUUUGAUGAUUUCCUCUUAAUUACAAAAACUAAACGCAGCAAAAAGAAACUUGGGAGUGCAGACACUGGUUUGCUAUGUCCUUCACUUACUCUUGAGCUGCAAACUGUAAUAAAAGAGGGUGGCUCCUGUAUAGUACUCGAUCAGCCCAUUCCACUAGAUAGAUUGGUUGUCAAAAGCAUUGAUCC
rnacentral:lncRNA from 1 species